rnacentral:rRNA from 1 species
GAUGAACGCUGGCGGCGUGCCUAAUACAUGCAAGUAGAACGCUGAAGCUUGGUGCUUGCACCGAGCGGAUGAGUUGCGAACGGGUGAGUAACGCGUAGGUAACCUGCCUCUUAGCGGGGGAUAACUAUUGGAAACGAUAGCUAAUACCGCAUAAAAGUCGAUAUCGCAUGAUAUUGAUUUGAAAGGUGCAAUUGCAUCACUAAGAGAUGGACCUGCGUUGUAUUAGCUAGUUGGUGAGGUAACGGCUCACCAAGGCGACGAUACAUAGCCGACCUGAGAGGGUGAUCGGCCACACUGGGACUGAGACACGGCCCAGACUCCUACGGGAGGCAGCAGUAGGGAAUCUUCGGCAAUGGGGGCAACCCUGACCGAGCAACGCCGCGUGAGUGAAGAAGGUUUUCGGAUCGUAAAGCUCUGUUGUAAGAGAAGAACGAGUGUAAGAGUGGAAAGUUCACACUGUGACGGUAACUUACCAGAAAGGGACGGCUAACUACGUGCCAGCAGCCGCGGUAAUACGUAGGUCCCGAGCGUUAUCCGGAUUUAUUGGGCGUAAAGCGAGCGCAGGCGGUUAGAUAAGUCUGAAGUUAAAGGCUGUGGCUUAACCAUAGUACGCUUUGGAAACUGUUUAACUUGAGUGCAGAAGGGGAGAGUGGAAUUCCAUGUGUAGCGGUGAAAUGCGUAGAUAUAUGGAGGAACACCGGUGGCGAAAGCGGCUCUCUGGUCUGUAACUGACGCUGAGGCUCGAAAGCGUGGGGAGCAAACAGG